rnacentral:rRNA from 1 species
AAGUCUGUUGUAAAGCCCUGGGCCUCAACUGGGGAACGCAGGGAUAGUGGGCGUCCCGACUUUGGUAGAGUGUAGCGCAAUUCCUGUCGUAGCAGUUAAAUGCGUAGAGAUCAGGAGAAACAUCCAUGGCGAAGGCAGCUACCUGGACCAACAUUGACACUGAGGCAAGAAAGCGUGGGGGAGCAAACAGGAUUAGAUACCUUGGUAGUCCACGCCGUAACAGAUGCAUAUCUGGAUGUUGGGUGCAAUUUGGCACGCAGUAUCGAAUCUAACGCGUUAAGUUCGCUGCCUGGGGAGUACGGUCGCAAGAGUGAACCUCAAAGAAUUUGACGGGGGCCCGCACAAGCGGCGGAGUAUGUCGUUUAAUUAAAUGAAACGCGAAGAACCUUACCUGGCCUUGACAUGUCGAGAACUUUCCAGAGAUGGAUUGGUGCCUUCGGGAACUCGAACACAGGUGAUGCAUGGCUGUCGUCAGCUUUUGUUGCGAGAUGGUGGGUUAAGUCCCGCAAAGAGGCCAACCCCUGUCAUUUUUUUCCAGCACGUAAUGGUGGGAACUGUAAGGCCACCACCGGUGACAACCUGGAGGACGGUGGGGAUGACGUCAAGUCAUCAUGGUCCCCAGGGCCAGGGCUACGCAUUUACUACAAUGGUAGGGACAGACGGAUGCAAGCUGGAGACCCUAAACCAAUCCCAGAAACCCUAUCCCAGUCCGGAUUGGAGUCUGCAACUCGACUCCAUGAAGUCGGAAUCGCUAGUAAUCGCAGAUCCCCAUUGCUGCGGAACCAGGUUCCCGGGCCUCCAACACAAGGCCUGUCACACCAGGGGACUUUGUUGCACCAGAAGCAAGGAGUUUAUCAUUCGGGAGGGCGCUUGUCCAAUGUGUCGCCAGAUGCUGCGUCCCGUGUCGUUACGAGUCGU